rnacentral:lncRNA from 1 species
CCGGGAUUUAUUUUCUCUUUUCAUCAAGAAUAUCAAUACUUCAUCAAUUAUCAUACAAUAAACAUCCAACUCAUUUUCACAUCAAUAACAAACAUUUCAAGCAUUUAAGAAUAUAAUUCAAGUUACACGAACUUACCUCGAUACUUGUUCGUAACAAAAAAUCUACUAAUCCCAAACUUUUUCUUUCCCUCGAUCUUGCUUCGUAUUUGAAUUUUCCGGAUCUAAAUAAAUAAAUUUAAUCAUUAAUCUAAUACAUUUCAUGUUCAUAUGUAACAUUCUCUAAAAUUCCAUUAUUAUUUAUAGUGCA